UACGUAGGGGGCAAGCGUUGUCCGGAAUCAUUGGGCGUAAAGAGCGUGUAGGCGGCCCGGUAAGUCCGCUGUGAAAGUCCAGGGCUCAACCCUGGGAUGCCGGUGGAUACUGUCGGGCUCGAGUCCGGAAGAGGAGUGUGGAAUUCCUGGUGUAGCGGUGAAAUGCGCAGAUAUCAGGAGGAACACCAAUGGCGAAGGCAGGUCACUGGGCCGCAACUGACGCUGAGGAGCGAAAGCAUGGGGAGCGAACAGG
rnacentral:rRNA from 1 species